rnacentral:rRNA from 1 species
GAUGAACGCUGGCGGCGCGCCUAACACAUGCAAGUCGAACGAUUAAAGCACCUUCGGGUGUGUAUAAAGUGGCGAACGGCUGAGUAACACGUGGGCAACCUGCCCCUUUCAUUGGGAUAGCCACGGGAAACCGUGGAUAAUACCGAAUACUUCGAGACUUCCGCAUGGAAGACUCGAGAAAGCUCCGGCGGAGGGGGAUGGGCCCGCGGCCUGUUAGCUUGUUGGUGGGGUAACGGCCUACCAAGGCAAUGAUGGGUAGCUGGGUUGAGAGACCGACCAGCCAGAUUGGGACUGAGACACGGCCCAGACUCCUACGGGAGGCAGCAGUGGGGAAUCUUGCACAAUGGGCGAAAGCCUGAUGCAGCGACGCCGCGUGCGGGAUGAAGGCCUUCGGGUUGUAAACCGCUUUCAGCAGGGACGAGGCGAAAGUGACGGUACCUGCAGAAGAAGCCCCGGCUAACUACGUG